rnacentral:ncRNA from 1 species
GAUCCGUAACUUCGGCACAAGGAUUGGCUCUGAGAACUGGGUCCGUGGGGCUGGGGUCCAAAGCGGAUGUUGCACUGCACCGAAAGUGGGCGAGACUGGCCGUGAAAGCGGUCCGGUUUGGCCCGAAACCAGCGUCGGGGGCUUUCUCGUGGAAUGCCUCAGCUGCGCGGCGCACCAGGCACAAAGCUCGGAGCGACCGUUUCGGCGGGCAACUAACAGUGGAUUCAGAACUGGCGC